GAUGAACGCUGGCGGCGCGCCUAACACAUGCAAGUCGAACGGCACCCCUCUCCGGAGGGAAGCGAGUGGCGAACGGCUGAGUAACACGUGGAGAACCUGCCCCCUCCCCCGGGAUAGCCGCCCGAAAGGACGGGUAAUACCGGAUACCCCGGGGUGCCGCAUGGCGCCCCGGCUAAAGCCCCGACGGGAGGGGAUGGCUCCGCGGCCCAUCAGGUAGACGGCGGGGUGACGGCCCACCGUGCCGACAACGGGUAGCCGGGUUGAGAGACCGACCGGCCAGAUUGGGACUGAGACACGGCCCAGACUCCUACGGGAGGCAGCAGUGGGGAAUCUUGCGCAAUGGGGGGAACCCUGACGCAGCGACGCCGCGUGCGGGACGGAGGCCUUCGGGUCGUAAACCGCUUUCAGCAGGGAAGAGUCAAGACUGUACCUGCAGAAGA
rnacentral:rRNA from 1 species